UGUCGGUCCCCGCGCAAUGAUACGCUGUAAACCCCGCCAGGCCCGGAAGGGAGCAACGG
rnacentral:SRP_RNA from 1 species